GCUUGCUGGGUUGAUCAGUGGCGAACGGGUGAGUAACACGUGAGUAACCUGCCCCAGACUCCGGGAUAAGCCUUGGAAACGAGGUCUAAUACUGGAUACGAGACGCCCCUGCAUGGGGAGUGUCUGGAAAGAUUUAUCGGUCUGGGAUGGACUCGCGGCCUAUCAGCUUGUUGGUGGGGUAAUGGCCUACCAAGGCGACGACGGGUAGCCGGCCUGAGAGGGCGACCGGCCACACUGGGACUGAGACACGGCCCAGACUCCUACGGGAGGCAGCAGUGGGGAAUAUUGCACAAUGGGCGAAAGCCUGAUGCAGCGACGCCGCGUGAGGGAUGAAGGCCUUCGGGUUGUAAACCUCUUUCAGCAGGGAAGAAGCGCAAGUGACGGUACCUGCAGAAGAAGCGCCGGCUAACUACGUGCCAGCAGCCGCGGUAAUACGUAGGGCGCAAGCGUUGUCCGGAAUUAUUGGGCGUAAAGAGCUCGUAGGCGGUUUGUCGCGUCUGGUGUGAAAACUCAAGGCUCAACCUUGAGCUUGCAUCGGGUACGGGCAGACUAGAGUGCGGUAGGGGUGACUGGAAUUCCUGGUGUAGCGGUGGAAUGCGCAGAUAUCAGGAGGAACACCGAUGGCGAAGGCAGGUCACUGGGCCGCAACUGACGCUGAGGAGCGAAAGCAUGGGGAGCGAACAGGAUUAGAUACCCUGGUAGUCCAUGCCGUAAACGUUGGGCACUAGGUGUGGGGCUCAUUCCACGAGUUCCGUGCCGCAGCAAACGCAUUAAGUGCCCCGCCUGGGGAGUACGGCCGCAAGGCUAAAACUCAAAGGAAUUGACGGGGGCCCGCACAAGCGGCGGAGCAUGCGGAUUAAUUCGAUGCAACGCGAAGAACCUUACCAAGGCUUGACAUACACCGGAAACUUCCAGAGAUGGUUGCCCCGCAAGGUCGGUGUACAGGUGGUGCAUGGUUGUCGUCAGCUCGUGUCGUGAGAUGUUGGGUUAAGUCCCGCAACGAGCGCAACCCUCGUCUUAUGUUGCCAGCACGUCAUGGUGGGGACUCAUAAGAGACUGCCGGGGUCAACUCGGAGGAAGGUGGGGAUGACGUCAAAUCAUCAUGCCCCUUAUGUCUUGGGCUUCACGCAUGCUACAAUGGCCGGUACAAAGGGCUGCGAUACCGCGAGGUGGAGCGAAUCCCAAAAAGCCGGUCUCAGUUCGGAUUGGGGUCUGCAACUCGACCCCAUGAAGUCGGAGUCGCUAGUAAUCGCAGAUCAGCAACGCUGCGGUGAAUACGUUCCCGGGCCUUGUACACACCGCCCGUCAAGUCACGAAAGUCGGUAACACCCGAAG
rnacentral:rRNA from 1 species